rnacentral:rRNA from 1 species
AUCCCGGGGCGAGAGAUCGUGACGGGCGCACCACCGGCCCGUCUCAGCAGUCGCAUCUGCGAGGCGGAGCUAGAGCGUACUUGUUGGGACCCGAAAGAUGGUGAACUAUGCCUGAGUAGGACGAAGCCAGAGGAAACUCUG